AGUACGGCUGGCUGAGCUCGGGCACCGCGAGGGCGAUCAUGCCGCUCCGCCCGCUGCGCAGCUGGCGGGCGGCGGCGUUCGGCCGGUAGCCGACCUC
rnacentral:tRNA from 1 species